rnacentral:rRNA from 1 species
UUGAACGCUGGCGGCCGGCCUCACACAUGCAAGUCGAGCGGAUGAAGGGAGCUUUCUCCUGGAUUCAGCGGCGGACGGGUGAGUAAUGCCUAGUAAUCUGCCUGGUAGUGGGGGAUAACGUCCGGAAACGGGCGCUAAUACCGCAUACGUCCUGUGUGAGAAAGUGGGGGAUCUUCGGACCUCACGCUAUCAGGUUAGCCUAGGUCGGUUUAGCUAGUUGGUGGGGUAAAGGCCUACCAAGGCGACGAUCCGUAACUGGUCUGAGAGGAUGAUCAGUCACACUGGAACUGAGACACGGUCCAGAGUCCUACGGGAGGCAGCAGUGGGGAAUAUUGGACAAUGGGCGAAAGCCUGAUAAAGCAAUGCCGCGUGUGUGAAGAAGGUCUUCGGAUUGUAAAGCACUUUAAGUUGGGAGGAAGGGAAGUAAGUUAAUACCUUGCUGUUUUGACGUUACCAACAGAAUAAGCACCGGCUAACUUCGUG